rnacentral:misc_RNA from 1 species
AGCUAUCAUUAUCCUAAGACAUUCGGGGGUCAGCCGGAAUCGAUAUCCGUGGGGAUCCUGUUAGCUGCUUCACUGCACGAUAGGGGAUCCAUGUGAUCGGCCACCGGUAUCCUCCAACCGAGGUGCGUAUGGUGCAGGGUGGGCCGGCGUUCAGCGUCGCGAAUCCCCACGUUUGCCCCGGACCGCGCCUUGGGCAACUCAGUGGGGGCAAUUGGAUCGCCUGUGGGGUCCCUCGGCGGCUUCGGCCCCGGGGGUCCCCCUGGUGGGGCGUCGGGCUCCGGCUCGGCCUCCCGGCUUCGGUAGAUAUCCUGAUCAUCCCUUCGGGGGUGGGGUGUGACUAGGCGUGAACGCUCCUUCGAGGGUGUGCGACCGACCUCUUAAGAUAGU